rnacentral:rRNA from 1 species
AUUGAACGCUGGCGGCAGGCCUAACACAUGCAAGUCGAGCGGAUGAAGGGAGCUUGCUCCUGGAUUCAGCGGCGGACGGGUGAGUAAUGCCUAGGAAUCUGCCUGGUAUUUGGGGAUAACGUCCGUAAACGGGCGCUAAUACCGCAUACGUCCUGAUGGAGAAAGUGGGGGAUCUUCGGACCUCACGCUAUCAGAUGAGCCUAGGUCGGAUUAGCUAGUUGGUGGGGUAAAGGCCUACCAAGGCGACGAUCCGUAACUGGUCUGAGAGGAUGAUCAGUCACACUGGAACUGAGACACGGUCCAGACUCCUACGGGAGGCAGCAGUGGGGAAUAUUGGACAAUGGGCGAAAGCCUGAUCCAGCCAUGCCGCGUGUGUGAAGAAGGUCUUCGGAUUGUAAAGCACUUUAAGUUGGGAGGAAGGGCAGUAAGUUAAUACCUUGCUGUUUUGACGUUACCAACAGAAUAAGCACCGGCUAACUUCGUG